rnacentral:rRNA from 1 species
GACGAACGCUGGCGGCGUGCUUAACACAUGCAAGUCGAACGGAAAGGCCCCUUUGGGGGUCCUCGAGUGGCGAACGGGUGAGUAACACGUGAGUAACCUGCCCUUCACUUCGGGAUAACUUCAGGAAACUGGGGCUAAUCCCGGAUAGGAAUCCUUGCUGCAUGGUGGGGGUUGGAAAGCUUCGGCGGUUUUGGAUGGACUCGCGGCUUAUCAGCUUGUUGGUGGGGUAGUGGCUUACCAAGGCUUUGACGGGUAGCCGGCCUGAGAGGGCGACCGGCCACAUUGGGACUGAGGUACGGCCCAGACUCCUACGGGAGGCAGCAGGGGGGAAUAUUGCACAAUGGGCGGAAGGCUGAUGCAGCAGCGCCGCGGGCGGGAUGACGGCCUUCGGGGUGUAAACCGCUUUCAGCAGGGGCGAAGCUUGUGGUGACGGUACCUGCAGAAGAAGCACCGGCUAACUACGUG